UGAUAAUGGACUGAAUCUCUGAAACUGCAUGCCGUGUCUGAAAUACAUUUUCCCAUUAAGGCUCCAAGGUCAAUGACACAGAUAAUUAACCAACUGAUUUAGUGCAUUUAAUUUCCUCAAAGCUUGAGUGAGACACCCCCACCAUCCAGUCCAGCCUCGAGAUUCCUAUUCCAAGAGGACCCUGGGACAGUGCUGCCUCUGUAAUGGGACACUGAUGUGAUCUGUGGCUGAGGCUUCGACUAGCAGCAUCGUAUGUCUGCUUAAAUGAUGAUGAAUGCUGCCUUUGUUCCAGACUGGAAGAUGUCAUUAUGCUGGCUCAUAUCGCUGACCUCGCUGGGCUUCCCGUAAUUCUCUUUUAGAAUGUCUCUGAUCAUAACAGAGACAAGAGAAGAGGGCAGCAUUCCACUUCCUCUAAAUUGACAGAACCGGAAACAAGGGAUAGUCAUUCUGGCCCUCGUGUUUCUUUCCUUUCCAUAAAGAAGUCAGUAUUCCCAUAGCUUGGAUCUUAAGCAUCUUCCAAAGACUUCAUUUUUCUACAGAUCUUCACUAUUGAGAGCUGACUCCAGCUUACAGUCCUUUGAUGCUUGCUUUUGGCCAUUGUGACUCGGCAGAACAAACAUCAGAACCAGAUAAUGUGGGAUGAACGACCUCACCAAGAAAACAACAAAAUGAGACAGCAUCUAGGAACAUCAGGGCAAUAUAAGAAGAGAGAUACAAAGUUUAAGAAGGAACUAAAAAGAUGCUAGAGAUAAACACCACUAUGGAAGAGCUGAAGGUGCCUUUCAUGGGCUUCUUGGUAGACCGGACCUGGCUGGGGAACGAAUUCUAAAUUUGAAGACAGCAUGUUAGGAACGGCCAGAUCUCUAAAGCAAAGAAAAUAAAGGGUGAUUAAAAAGGCAAGAACAGAAUAUUUUAAGCUCCAUGGAAGAACUGUAACAUCUAUAAAACACAUGUAACACCAAGAACAGGAAGACAGGAAAGAGAAAGAACAGGGGAAUUAUUUGAAAUAACAGCGACUGGGAAUAUUCCCAAGUAAAUGUCAGACAUCCAACCACAGAUCCCAGGAGCUCAGAGAAUACCAAGCGGCGUAAGAGCCAAGAGAACUACACCUUGAGCAUCUUAUUUUCCAACCAUAGAAAAGCAAAGAUACAGGCAAAAACUUGAAAAAGCCAGAGUUAGAAAAGCAGCUUCUCCACAGAGGUGCACAGGUGAGAUUUACAUAGAAUUUCUUAUGUAGAGAUCCAUAAGCAAGAGGACUGAAAUACUGAG